GGGGCCAUAGCUCAAUUGGUAGAGCACUAGCUUUGCAAGCUAGGGGUUAGGGGUUCGAUUCCCCUUGGCUCCACAA
rnacentral:tRNA from 3 species